rnacentral:rRNA from 1 species
AUCUGAUUAGCUAGUUGGUGAGAUAACAGCCCACCAAGGCAACGAUCAGUAGCCGACCUGAGAGGGUGAUCGGCCACAUUGGGACUGAGACACGGCCCAAACUCCUACGGGAGGCAGCAGUGGGGAAUAUUGCACAAUGGGGGAAACCCUGAUGCAGCAACGCCGCGUGAAGGAAGAAGGUUUUCGGAUCGUAAACUUCUAUCAAUAGGGACGAAGGAAAUGACGGUACCUAAAUAAGAAGCCCCGGCUAACUAC